AGAGUCAUUUGGAUCAUUUAUUACAAACUUCCAUAUGACUAAGAUUGAAUGCACAUUUGCUGGGUUACUAAAUUUGCUGGUAAUUGUACAAAAUAAUAUGUUUGGCAAUAAGGGAAAGGAAGCUUCUUUAGUUACUUCUUCUUCUUCUGGAAAGUCCAAGAAGAAGAAAAGCAACAAAAAGAAGAAAGCUUCCACCCCAAGUCCUUCUGGAA
rnacentral:misc_RNA from 1 species